rnacentral:lncRNA from 1 species
CAGGGACCCCACUUUGAGAACUGCUGACUAGAAAACAUGUCACCACUUUUAGGGGUCUGUCCCCUCAGCUGUCACCCUCCUCUCUCCGAUUGCCAGGGCCAUGCCGUGGGAGCCGGGGUCCCAGUUCUGUGUGAGCAACUGUUGGGUUGAGCUUUAUUGCUCUUAUCCAUCCUGAUUUAUCAGACCCUUUCGAAAAGGAAGUUCGUGGGUGCCAACGCACCUGUGUGGGCCCUGCAUUCCAGGAGCUGUUGUCACGUCCUCUCUCCCCUCCCCCGGGUGUGGCAUCUCUCUUUACUUGGACUUUCCUUUCUAGAAGGGAGGGCCAGGCCAGAGCUUCCUGGAUCUCCUAAGUGGAAUUUGCUCUGAGGCCUGCGUCACAAGUGCGCCUGGGUUGUGUAAGGCAGGAAUGUGGAAAAUAGUUAGAAUUUGAUAAAAGCAUUGUGGAGGAGGGGCACCCUCUCACUCCGAGGGCUGUGCCGGCCACAAGCUUGUUCGCAGCGCCUGAAUUUCAGCCUUUCUGGAGAAGCAUGAAGCCCAGAGAAACAGCACAGAGAAGAGUUUAUAUUCCUGUUUCUUCAGUUUGAAGACUGAACCCUAAUCUCAUUUCUCUCCAUCAUGCCUCCCCACCCCCAAAUCCUCAAGCUAAAGCUGAUCAAGAUCUACGUGUGGAAUGAAAAGCUAGUCCCGUGCCUGGGAGAAUUCAUACUCACUCUAGCUGCUGUGUAGCAAACCUCCCCACAACUUCAUGGCUUAGACGACAACGAGAUGGUUGUUUCUCGAGAUUCCAGGUUGGCCGUCUGGGUGGUUGCGCUGCUGGCCUUCUCGGGCUCACUUCUACGGUCAUCCGAUGACUCGACCAGGCUGGAGGGUCCUGGUGGCCGCAGUCACAGGCCCGGCAGUGGUCUGGCUGUCAGCUGAGUACCGUGGUUCCCUUCCACAUGGACUUCCGUCUUCCAGGAGGCCAGCCCAGGCCUCUGCACCAUUUGUGGUCUUGGGGUUCCAAGAAAGUGAAAGCCAAGACAGAAAGUGCCAGGUGAAGGCCUGGUUCAAGAGCUGACGGACCAUCACUUCU